rnacentral:rRNA from 1 species
AGUGAACGCUGGCGGUAGGCCUAACACAUGCAAGUCGAACGGCAGCACAGUAAGAGCUUGCUCUUACGGGUGGCGAGUGGCGGACGGGUGAGGAAUACAUCGGAAUCUACUUUUUCGUGGGGGAUAACGUAGGGAAACUUACGCUAAUACCGCAUACGACCUACGGGUGAAAUCAGGGGAUCUUCGGACCUUGCGCGAUUGAAUGAGCCGAUGUCGGAUUAGCUAGUUGGCGGGGUAAGGGCCCACCAAGGCGACGAUCCGUAGCUGGUCUGAGAGGAUGAUCAGCCACACUGGAACUGAGACACGGUCCAGACUCCUACGGGAGGCAGCAGUGGGGAAUAUUGGACAAUGGGCGCAAGCCUGAUCCAGCCAUACCGCGUGGGUGAAGAAGGCCUUCGGGUUGUAAAGCCCUUUUGUUGGGAAAGAAAAGCAGCAGGUUAAAACCCCGCUGUUCUGACGGUACCCAAAGAAUAAGCACCGGCUAACUUCGUG